rnacentral:rRNA from 1 species
UAGAAUUCCAGGUGUAGCGGUGAAAUGCGUAGAGAUCUGGAGGAAUACCGGUGGCGAAGGCGGCCCCCUGGACAAAGACUGACGCUCAGGUGCGAAAGCGUGGGGAGCAAACAGGAUUAGAUACCCUGGUAGUCCACGCCGUAAACGAUGUCUACUUGGAGGUUGUGCCCUUGAGGCGUGGCUUCCGGAGCUAACGCGUUAAGUAGACCGCCUGGGGAGUACGGCCGCAAGGUUAAAACUCAAAUGAAUUGACGGGGGCCCGCACAAGCGGUGGAGCAUGUGGUUUAAUUCGAUGCAACGCGAAGAACCUUACCUGGUCUUGACAUCCACAGAACUUUCCAGAGAUGGAUUGGUGCCUUCGGGAACUGU